GUGAGGCGGGAAUGGCCGCUCACUCCCGUCCGGAGCGGCGUGCGGGGCUGUCCCCACAGUCCCUCGCCGUGUUCCGCCUGGAAGCGGCCCGGUUCUGUGCCAUUUCUCCCGGAGAGACACCGAGCGGAUAGACCCGAGCGGGCUCAGCAUGUCCCUCCCAGCAAAGAGAUGUGGAAGGCCCCCGGUGUUGUCUUUUCUGGAAAAGAAAAAGAGAAAGCGUAGUCUUGAUAGAAGAAGGGGGAAAACAAGGAUUUAUGUGGGAAAUCACAUUGAGCGGUAGCUGACGCUCAAGGAGAAGUUGGAUCUCAGAAAUGACACAGAAGUCGCAGGGUUUUUACUGGAUAUGACAGCUACAACCUGUUGGCAAAAGCUCUGCUCUGUCCCCUCUGAGGGUGCAAGAAGGAUCACUGGGGAGGAAGAAAGAGCAUUGUUAGCCAGCACUCCUUUAAUAGCAGCAGAUGGAAUUAGGUGAACAAGUUGGGGUUUGGAAAGCAAUUCUGUGGCAGAGAAGAAUCCUUGGAAGCUAGGUCAGGAGCAAAUAAAUACCAGUGCUGAUGAAGCUGAAAAAUUCAGGGUGAGCAGCAAGAAGAAAAUCAAGCUCUUGCAUAAUGAUACAGGGGCAAUUUUUGCUCCAUUUUGAUUUUGCUAUGAGGAUCUUGUGAACUGUACAGAAUUACUAGAUGGAGUAAGAGCAGUACUGGCAGUAACUGGAGUUCUACAGAACGGUGUUGGCAGUUCUGAAUGUUUUGUAGUUACCACGUGUGAGUAAUCCUGGAGAGGUUUUGAACCAAGAACUUGAGGUUUUUCUUUGACCAAACAAUGACUCAUGUAAAUAACUCAGUUUGGCUCAUGGAGGGAGUGGGACUGGUGGCACCUGUGCUCAGUGAAGCCUCUUCCAGUGCUCUCAGAUUUUCAAUUGUUGGUGUCAUUACAGUGAGAAGGGAGGAGGACUCAGCCUUCCCUUACAUUUUUCUCCAAAGGCUUCAAGAUCAGAAAAAUCCACAACUGCAUAUUCUCAGCCAGUUCAACCUCAUUCUUGUGCCUUUUUAAAUGCACACUGCAAAUAUUUCUAUUAUUUAAUGACUUUCUGUUAUGCAAAUAGAAUAGCACUGCCAGUACCUGA